AUUCAGGUAGCUAAAAGAUAGCGUUACAUUGAAGCUGUAGAGUUGAUAGGAUUAUCUCUGAGUA
rnacentral:tRNA from 1 species